rnacentral:rRNA from 1 species
AUUGAACGCUGGCGGCAUGCCUUACACAUGCAAGUCGAACGGUAACAGGUCUUCGGAUGCUGACGAGUGGCGGACGGGUGAGUAAUACAUCGGAACGUGCCUAGUAGUGGGGGAUAACUACUCGAAAGAGUGGCUAAUACCGCAUGAGAUCUACGGAUGAAAGCAGGGGAUCGCAAGACCUUGUGCUACUAGAGCGGCCGAUGGCAGAUUAGGUAGUUGGUGGGAUAAAAGCUUACCAAGCCGACGAUCUGUAGCUGGUCUGAGAGGACGAUCAGCCACACUGGGACUGAGACCCGGCCCAGACUCCUACGGGAGGCAGCAGUGGGGAAUUUUGGACAAUGGGCGAAAGCCUGAUCCAGCAAUGCCGCGUGCAGGAUGAAGGCCUUCGGGUUGUAAACUGCUUUUGUACGGAACGAAAAGCCCCGGGUUAAUACCCUGGGGUCAUGACGGUACCGUAAGAAUAAGCACCGGCUAAUUACGUGCCAGCCGCCGCGGUAA